CUGUGGGGCUUCUUUCCCGUCCUGCUGCUGCUGCUAUCGGGGGAUGUCCAGAGCUCGGAGGUGCCCGGGGCUGCUGCUGAGGGAUCGGGAGGGAGUGGGGUCGGCAUAGGAGAUCGCUUCAAGAUUGAGGGGCGUGCAGUUGUUCCAGGGGUGAAGCCUCAGGACUGGAUCUCGGCGGCCCGAGUGCUCGUAGACGGAGAAGAGCACGUCGGUUUCCUUAAUUGAAUUCAUCGAGGGAUUUGCUAUAUCACACUUGUCAUUUAUGUGAGACUAGGGUUCCUCUACAUUGCUUUCUUGCUUCUGUCCUUUCGUGCUAUUAGUGGAAGUGGGUUUUCUGUCUAUAUUAAAAGACAGGAUGAAAUUGUUAGCACUAGUUUUGCAGCAGCCUGCUUUUGAAAUGUCUAGGCACACGUAUGUUGUUUUAAAUCUUUCCACCCUUACUUGGAAGGUGAAACUGUAAACUGAAAGAAAAUAAUUAGGAAGUAUUUCCUUUGGUGGGUUCGUACACCAGCAAAUGGUAUCUGAAAAUCAGACAACUUAAAUGUGGACAUUUAAAUCCAAAUCUGAUUUACAUAUUUGUUCAGCUCAUCUAAGUGCCCUUGAGU
rnacentral:sRNA from 1 species